UACGGAGGGUGCAAGCGUUGUCCGGAUUUAUUGGGUUUAAAGGGUGCGUAGGUGGUUUUCUAAGUCUGGUUUGAAAGCUGGUGGCUUAACCAUCAGAUGUGGCUGGAAACUGGAGGACUUGAAUGCGUUGGCGGUAGCCGGAACGGGUCUGUAGCGGUGAAAUGCAUAGAAUAUGACCCAGAACACCGACUUGCGAAGGCAGGCUACUACGACGUGAUUGACACUGAGGCACGAGAGCAUGGGUAGCGAACAGG
rnacentral:rRNA from 1 species